UCAUGGAAAUCACAGUCUGGAAAUAAACAUUUUUAAAAAUUGAGGUAGACUUUCCCUACAGUAAAAUAUACAUCUCUAACUUUAUGAAAUUUGAAGAAUGUUUGAAACACAUGUCCUACAAGAGCUAUGUCUUAUGUAAAUGUUCAUGAUGUGUGCUUGUGCGUGUGUGCUUGUGCGUGUGUGUGUGUGUGUGUGUGUGUGUGUGUGUGUGUGUGUGUAUACCACCCCAGAAAAUUCCCUAAUUUCCUACUAGCAAAGCCAAGGGCUGUUUUUAAAUGCCAUCACAUAUUUCUUGUGCCCGUUACCUAACACUUUAUGAAUGAAAUCAAACAAUAUGUGUUAUUGGUGUAAUUUUCUCCCAGAUGAUUUUUCUUUGUGGUUUAUCUAUUGUAUGUCAACUUGAUGCAAGCUAUACUCUAAGAGGAGGGGAACCUUAGCUGAGAAACUGCCUCCAUAAGAUUAAGUUGUAGGCAAGCUUAUAAGGCAUUUUCUUAAUUAGUGAUUGAUGAGUGAGGGCCCAGCCCGUGUGGAUGGUGCUACCCCUGCACUUGUGGUCCUGGAUUCAACAAAAAAAUCAGGCUCUUCAAAAGCCAUUGAAGAGCAAGCAGUAUCCCUCAUGGUCUCUACAUCAGCUCCUGCUUCCAGGUUUCUGCCCUGUUUGAGUUCCUGUCCUGACUUCCUUCAGUGAUGGAUUACAAUGUAGAAAUGUAAGCCAAAUAAACCCUUCACUCUCCAACUUGCUUUUGGUCAUGGUGUUUCAUGAUAGCAAUAGUAACCCUAAGACAUCCAUGCUGUGCUACCAACCGUAGCUGAGUAGCAAGUGUAUAAUGGGAGCACUACUUACUCCAUUCUACUAAUGGAUACCUGAGUUAUUACCUUGUUUUACUAAGUUAAUUUUAAAAAUAAGCAAACACACACACACACUCAGAGCACUAAAGCUUAAGAAACAAAAAAGAAAAAGAAAGAAAGAAAUUGCUCAUUUGACACCAGAGGACAGAAAGCAGCUAAAUGUUUUUCCAUAAACCCUUUGGCAAGUGAUACUAGCCGCCCCCUCCCAUCUCUCUCUCUCUCUCUCUUUCUUGCAAACACACAUAACAGUAAAAUUCCCGAGUCAUAGGAUCUGUUAUGUAUGGACCUCGGGGGGGAAACUUCCAAGCUCUCCUAAGUCAGUGGCAACUUUUAAGGUUGUAGCACCCAAGAAUAAGAGAUCAAAUCAGCCCACAUUCCAACUGGCACUUGAUAUCAGUCCUUUAAACUUAGCUUGUCGCAAAGGCAUGUGUGGCUGCCUAUUGUGUAAUGUUAAAUGCUGUUCCCAGGUGACUAAUCAUGUCAAGGACAUGUGCAUGUAUGCUUAGUCCUUGCCUGGUCUCUUUUGUGACAUUAGUUUUUUGUUUGUUUGUUUUUUGUUGGUGGUGGUGGUGUUUGUUUUGUUUUGUUUUUAAUCUACACUACAGAGCAGUUGAUUGGUCUUUGUGAUGGUUUAUAUAUGCUUGGCCCAGAGAGUGGCACUAUUAGAAGGUGUAGCCCUGUUGGAGUAGGUGUGGCUUUGUUGGAGUAGGUGUGUCACUAUGGGUGUGGGCUUUAAGAUCCUCAUCCUAGCUGCCUGGAAGUCAGUAUUCUGCUAGCAGCCUUCAGAUGAAGAUGUAGAACUCUCAGCUCCUCCUGCACCAUGCCUGCCUGGACACUGCCAUGUUCCUGCCGUGAUGAUAAUGGACUGAACUUCUGAACCUAUAAGCCAACCCCAACUAAAUGUUGUCCUGUAUAAGAGUUGCCUUGGUCAUGGUGUUUGAUCACACUUAGUAAAACCCUAAGUCAGUCUUAGUAUAUGUUUCCUCGUUGAACCCUGUUAACAUUUUGUAGUAAGUAAUUGACAGUGUAUGUGUCCUGUCUCCUAUUGUAUUAUAGGCUUUUAUUCUGUAUCUCAGACCAACACUACAAUGCUGUGUGGCUUUGAAUGCCACACUCACUGUCUUAGUCAGGGCUUCUAUUCCUGCACAAAAAAUAUGACCAAGAAGCAAGUUGGGGAGGAAAGGGUUUAUUCAGCUUACACAUUCAAAUUGCUGGUUAUCACCAAAGGAAGUCAGGACUGGAACUCAAGUAGGUCAGGGAGCAGGAGCCGAUGCAGAGGCCACGGAGGAAUGUUACUUACUGGCUUGCUACCCCUGGCUUGCUCAGCUUGCUUUCUUAUAGAACCCAAGACUACCAGCCCAGGGAUGGCACCACCUUCCUUGAUCACUAAUUGAGAAAAUGCCCCACAGCUGGAUCUCAUGGAAGUAUUUCCCCAACUGAAGCGCCUUUCUCUGUGAUAAUUCCAGCCUGUGUCAAGUUGGCACACAAAACCAGUCAGUACACUCACCUACAUGGACAUUUACAUAUUUUCCAGUUUUGUUCUUUCUUUAUAUUUAUUUUACAAUUGCAUUGUCAACUUAAUAAACAAGCUUAAUAAAACGAUGCUGAGAU
rnacentral:lncRNA from 1 species